GGCGGAGGCGCCGGUUCUCCUCGCUCAGCCGCCGCAGCUCCAGUUCGGCCUGCUGCGCGGACACCUGCAGCUGGGGGAGCCAGGAAACUCGGGGUUAGGGCCUGCCGGCUGCCCAGGGUCUUAAAAAUUAUCAUUGGAGUUCGAGAGACGGCUUAGUGGUCAAGAGUAUUGGUUGCUCUUCCAGUGGACCUGAGACAGAUUACUGGCAUCCGCACAGUGGCUCACAACUGUCUGUAACUCCAGUUCCAGGGCACCUGGCACUCUCUGCUGCCCUCCACAGGUACUACAUGCAUAUGACGCAGAAAAAACACCCACAUAUAUACAUAUGUGUGUAUGUAUAUAUGUAUAUAAGGGCUGGAGAGAUGGCUUAGUAGUUAAGAUCACUGACUGCCCUUCCAGAGGACCCAGAUUCAAUUCCCAGAACCCACAUUGCAGCUCAUAACUGUGACUCCAGUUCCAGGGGACCCAACACCCUCACACAGGUAGGUAUACAUGAAGGCAAAAAUGCAUAUAAAACUAAUUUAAAAACAUUUUUAACUUUUUGUAAUUCUGUACAUGUAUAUAAGGACUCGUGUGGCACUGAGCGAGUGUGAAAGUCAGAGGACAAGUCUGUGCAAUAGGUUCUCUCCUUCCACUUUUACAGGGUUCUGCGGAAUCAAACUCGGGGUGUCAGGUUUAUGGGAAGUGCUUUCCUUCUGAGCCAGCUCAUCAGCUUCAGGUUGGCUUUUUUUCUUCUCAAGAAACUGAACCCAGGGCCUUAGAGCAUGCCAGGCAAGUGUUUUGUAACUGAGUUUUCUCUAUAGUAUUUUUCUUCCCUUUAAAUUUGUCUGUCUCUGAGACAGGGGCUCACUAGGUAGCUCUGGCUAUCCUGGAACUCACUAUGUAGACCAAGUUGGCCUCAAACUCACAUGCGACAGUGUGUAUGUGAGAAUCAGAGGCUAACUCUGAGGAGCUGGUUCUCCCCCUCCACAGUGGGAUUUGGGGACUUAACUCAGGUUUUCAGCUUUGUGCAGCAAACUUUUAUCUUCUGAGUCAUCUGUGGCCCAAGGACAAUUUCUGGAUUUUUAUUUUAAACCUUAACCUUUUACUUAUUCAGUGUAUGCAUAUGCAUGAGUAUAAUAUGUGUCACACUGGAAAUGUGGAGGCCACAGGGCAAUUUACAGAAGUCAGCGCUCUCCUACUGUAUAGAUUCUGGAGCUCAAACUGGCCAACAGACUUGGCAGCAAGCACCUUUACCUACGGAAUAAUUUUGCCAGCCUGACAUUGUCACACAAGUCUCGAAUGGGUUUUCAUUUAUUUAUUUGAGAAAGUUUCAUUUGGUAGCAGCUGGGCCACAGAAGCUGGCUCAGAGGCCUGUGCUACCAUAUCAAACUAAGACAGCCGUCUGGACUGGUAGUGAAAUCUAGCCUUUAACACUCACAGCAACCUGCUUGCCUAGGCCGUCCAAGUGCUAGGAUUCAGGAGUGUACCACUCUGCCCAGCUGUGUUUGGUGCUGUGAAAGGUUUUCUCAACACUAAGAUUAUCAGUAUUUUCUAACAGCUUAGUAUUUUACAUCCAUAGUUUUACUCUAUUUAAUUUUACUUUUGUUGAGUGGUGUGAAAAAAGGCCCUGCUCUUUUCUAUUUCAAUAUCAUAAAGUACGCAGCAGUAAGAUUUGACUAUGUACAUAUUUGAAUCUAUUUGUUAUUCUCUGCCAAUAAAUUCCACUCCAAUAUUUUCUCUUAAUUGUCAUAUUGGUAAAAUAUUUUGACAUCCUCUUGUUUGUGAUGUCUCUUUUUCUCAUUCUUUUCUUCUUCUUUUUUUUGUUUGUUUUUGAGACAGAGUUUCUCUGUGAAACAGUCCUGGCUGUCCUGUAACUUGCUCUGUAGACCAAGCUGGCCUUGAACACACAGAGAUCCACCGUC